AUAAAAUCAUACAAUUCCGGUGCUUGUCACACCAUGUAAUAGAUAACAUUCGUGAGCAAAUGUGACCUUCACACACCAGUUUUUUCAUGGUUAUACACCAUGAGCUUUGAGGAAACCUACCGGUAUAUAUGAAAGUGAGAAUGGGGAUUUAAUAAACUUGUGCAGCUGAAGUCAAUCAGGUUCUCUGGGGAGGCAUCAAGUGCCAUUCUCAGUUGGGGACGUGAACUGGAAACCUUCCACUGAGGUCAGUGUUGAAACCACUGAGUCACUAUGCUCCUCGAUGUGGACAAAGAUCGAUUUAAAAUAAACACAACAUAGCCGGGCUGCGACCUCAAAUAUGGGAUGCUCUUUUGGACUUGAACAAUUACAAUAUAGUGUCCCUUUAAGGGGUGAAAAGGAAGAAACUGAGCGGGAUUAUGGAAGAGUAGUGCAUAAUUAUUAUAUAAAAAAGGUUAUAUUGAAGGGCC